GUCCACGCUGUAAACGAUGUCUGCUAGCCGUUGGGGUCCUUGAGGUCUCAGUGGCGCAGCUAACGCGAUAAGCAGACCGCCUGGGGAGUACGGCCGCAAGGUUAAAACUCAAAUGAAUUGACGGGGGCCCCGCACAAGCGGUGGAGCAUGUGGUUUAAUUCGAUGCAACGCGAAGAACCUUACCACCCCUUGACAUCCAGAGAACUGUUCAGAGAUGGACGGGUGCCUUCGGGAGCUCUGAGACAGGUGCUGCAUGGCUGUCGU
rnacentral:rRNA from 1 species